AACCUCCGCAAUGUGAGAAAUCGCGACGGGGGGAUCCCAAGUGCCAUUCUUAACGGGAUGGCUUUUCAUUAGUGUAAAAAGCUUUUGGAAUAAGAGCUGGGCAAGACCGGUGCCAGCCGCCGCGGUAACACCGGCAGCUCUAGUGGUAGCAAUUUUUAUUGGGCCUAAAGCGUUCGUAGCCGGUUUAAUAAGUCUCUGGUGAAAUCCUGUAGCUUAACUGUGGGAAUUGCUGGAGAUACUAUUAGACUUGAGACCGGGAGAGGUUAGAGGUACUCCCAGGGUAGAGGUGAAAUUCUGUAAUCCUGGGAGGACCGCCUGUUGCGAAGGCGUCUAACUGGAACGGUUCUGACGGUGAGGGACGAAAGUUAGGGGCGCGAACCGGAUUAGAUACCCGGGUAGUCCUAACCGUAAACGAUGCGGACUUGGUGUUGGGAUGGCUUUGAGCUGCUCCGGUGCCGAAGGGAAGCUGUUAAGUCCGCCGCCUGGGAAGUACGGUCGCAAGACUGAAACUUAAAGGAAUU
rnacentral:rRNA from 1 species